rnacentral:lncRNA from 1 species
UGGAGAUGCAGAGAAGAGCUGAUGCUUCAGUCCAAGUCUUAAGAAACAGCCCACAGAAACACCCAGGAUGACCUCUGACCGACUGUCCGGGGCCCUGUUGGUCCAGUCCUGCUGACACAUGAGAAUAGUCAUCACACCGACCAUUACGUGUAAGAUCC